rnacentral:rRNA from 1 species
CCUACGGGUGGCAGCAGUGGGGAAUAUUGCGCAAUGGGCGAAAGCCUGACGCAGCGACGCCGCGUGAGGGAUGAAGGUCUUCGGAUCGUAAACCUCUGUCAGCAGGGAAGAACGGUCACUGUGCUAAUCAGCAGUGAAUUGACGGUACCUGCAAAGGAAGCACCGGCUAACUCCGUGCCAGCAGCCGCGGUAAUACGGAGGGUGCGAGCGUGAAUCGGAAUUACUGGGCGUAAAGCGCUCGUAGGCGGUAUGUCAAGUCAAGGGUGAAAUCCCCGCGCUCAACGUGGGAACUGCCUUUGAAACUGGCAGACUGGAGUGGGUGAGAGGAGAGUGGAAUUCCAGGUGUAGGAGUGAAAUCCGUAGAUAUCUGGAGGAACAUCGGUGGCGAAGGCGACUAUCUGGCACAUAACUGACGCUGAGGAGCGAAAGCGUGGGUAGCAAACAGGAUUAGAUACCCGAGUAGUC